CCCAAAGGAAUUAGUAAAUUAUAUGUAGGAACAAAUCAAAGUAAUUGUGCAAGAUGAGCGUUGAGCGCGAUGGAGAAGCAGGGCACGUGCAUUACUAACUCCUCUACGCCUUUUCUGCUAACGUGAGUUAGUAUUUCAUGUGUCCUUCUUCCCCAUCACGACCGCUCAAUCUUAUUCCGACACGCCUCAACUUCUCCAGGUAACAAUUGGAAGUGUUUUGUCUCAUGAAGAUGUAAUUUUCAAGCCCACAUAUAUUAGAAGUAGCGCUUUAAGAAGCAUGUAUUGUUCUUGUUCAACAAAGUGAAACACAAAGCUAAUGGCAGAAAGUAGAAACGUAUACGGUCGUCUCAUCAUCUUUGUGGAAUUGUGGAUGGAGAGUUUUCCAUCUUUAUGGAUGAAACUCAUCAAGGGAAUUCACUUUUGUAAAUUGUAAUGUGCAUAUAUUUAUUGACUUAGAUUGUGGAGUACAUGAUUUUUUCAAUAGAUUUUGCCUGGAGAUUGAGAGAAUUGCUCAAUGGAGAAAUAGACGUGUAAAAGUGCUUUGCUGUAUCGUUCCCCACCUCAACAAACAACAAGAAGAGAUGAUAUAAAUAAAAUAAUUUGCAGUGAUGUAUGUAUGUAUGUAUGUUAUUGAUCAUAUGAUCAUAUCCCAUUCAAAAAAAAGAGGGGAAAAAACAUAAAGAAAAGAGAAAGUUGUGAUUCGUCCUUA